rnacentral:lncRNA from 1 species
CACUGUUCUGUAGCAGGCUGCAGCUGAUAGUCUGUGAAUCAUUUUAUUGUUCUGUAAAAGGGAUAUAGUAUACUUAAUUUUUUCUUUUUUGUGUCUUCAUUGUUCACUAUUUUAUUUAUCAAUUUUGUUGGUGAAAAUGAAGAAAAUAAGACAGCUGAAAAGUUGUGUAAUUUUUGGUACUAGUGAUCUAGGGUACAUUUCUGAUGUUCUGUCAUAUGUUUUUUUGUUUCCAUCGAGGAGGGGUGUAAGCGUUUUGCACCCAAUUCUCUGAUAGUAAUCUUCCUUUUUUUAUUUGGAUUGGAUUGGACUAAACUCAAUUCAACUCAACCGGAGUCACUUACACGUCUAUUGGGUAUUAUAUAUCUUCUACUUGCAGACGACCAUGUAUUAAGUUUAAUGCAAUCAAAUGUUAGCAUGACAUAGAAUAUUUAGAAAAACAUUUGAAAUGUAAAAGAUGCGGAAUUUAAGCCUGAUAACUUUUGUAGAGACACGUGGAAGACAGGCAAGCAAACGUGCUGAUGGUUUACUUCUGAAUUUUAUGGUCGUGUUUGAUGCAUCCGAUUGAAGAGUUUACCAUUUUUAUGCAUCAAAUUGAUUAUUCUUUCUUUCUCUGUACAUUGCCUGAACUUAAGUCCACAUGAUGAUGUUUACUUCAUUUCCUAAUAUGAUUCCACUAUUUGACAUUUUUUAAGUUUGUUGAUAUUGCAUUAAAUUUUAUUUAUCUCUAAGAGCAUUUAACUUGGCUAAUUUUGAACCCAUGCCUUUUGACAAUGUAACAGAGUGGAGAAAGUGAAGCAUGGAUUUGGCAUGAAACCACCUAGAGCAGCUACAUAAUCAAAACGUAGAAAGAAAAUAUUUUACCACAGGUUGGAGAAGGUGAAUCUUUUUCCAUCCAUCUGAUUCGGAAAACAUUAUUUGGAACGUGAUAAUGGAACAAACUGGAAAUAUUUGCAAGAUUACAUGAAAUUCUUCCAUUGUAUGACAAGUUCAAGUGGCUUUGUCCAUGACAUGAAUUUGUAUUACAUAUAUAAUUGUAAUUUUUUUAAAUGCCUAUAGGUAAAAAAAAACUUCAUUGGAAGAAGUUCUAUGUUUGAUAUCAGGCAGUCUUAGGAAAAGUAAAAGUAAUUGUGCGGAAAGUCAUGUAGUGUAGAAUUUGACGUGUAAAAAUUUGUAAUUUAUUCCUUGAUCAGUUUGAUGUGUUCUAAGUGAAUCAUGGAAAUGGUUUUUUAUGAUCCGGAGCAAGACUGCUGCGUAUUCUUCUAUCUUGUGUGCACGGCUUUUGAUUAGAUGUGGAACAAAAUCUAAACAAGAAUUAUUGACUUAGUAAUAAGUAUCACAUGGUUUGGAGCUAUAGGUAAAGUCAUUCUCCCUGUGCAUACAUCUUCAUUUUGAUCUGUAUUUUUGUAUAUGUUUAGAAUAUUUGGCCCUGACUUUUUCUUCAUUCCCACCAAAUUACAAAAUUCAAUCCAUAAUUAUCCAAAUCUAUUUUAGUUUUAAUCUAUUUAAAUGGAUUUAUCUCAAAUCCAAAUCCAUAUUUUUGAAUUUUAAUUUCAAUCCAUUUAAUUGGAUAUGGAUUAGAUAUAGAUUGGAUACAUUUUUGGAUUAUCCAAAUUGCAUUUUGGGUUGGAUUUUGACUUGGCCCGAUCCAGGUUGAGCAAAGUCGGCCCAAGUUCACGUCAAGCCGAGUCGUCCGGGCCCAAGUCAAAUCGAGUUCGUAUGGGCCAAAGUCGACCAAGUCGUUCCGGGCCAAAGUCGAGUUGAGUUAACCUUGGGCCAAGUCGAGCUAAGUGGCCUAUAUUGAGUCAACCCGAGUCGGCCAGGGCCGAUAUCGAGUCGAGUUGGCCUAGGCCAAUGUCUACUCGAGUCGGUCCAUGCCCAUGUCGAGCUGAGUCAACCAGGCCAAGGCUGAUGUCGAGCCGAGCGUGCCCAAGCCGAUGUCGAGCCGUCUAGGCCCGGGCCAAUGUCGAGCAGAGCGGGCCAAGGUCGAUAUUGAGUCGAGCGGGCCCAAUAGAUGUCGAGCUGAGCAGGCCCAGCCGAUGUCGAAUCGAACGGGCCCUGGCCGAUGUCGAGCAGAGCAGGCCCAUACUGAUGUUGAGUCGUCCUGGCCCGGGUCGUUGGCGUGUCUAGGCCUGGGCCGAUGUCGAGUCGUCUGGGCCUAAGUCGAUUUCGAGAUGAGCGGACCAAGGUCAAUAUUGAACCGAGCGGGCUUGAGCCGAUAUCGAGCCGAGCAGGCCUGGGCCGAUGUCAAUCAGAGCAGGCCCAGGCCGAUAUCGAGUUGAGCGAGCCCGGGCCAAUGUUGAGUGUAGCGGGCCCGGGCCGAUGUCGAGUCGAGCAGGCCCGAGCUGAUGUCUAGUUGAGCGGUCUCUGGUCGAUGUUGAGCCGAGCGGUCCUAGGCCGAUGUCGAGUCGUACGAGCCCGAGCCGAUGUCGAGCCGUACGGGCCUGGACCGAUGUCAAGUUGUGGGUCUGGGCUAAUGUCGAGUCGUACAGUCCCGGGCCGAUGUUGAGUCGUAUGGGCCUGGGCCGAUGUCGAGUCGUACGAGCCCAGACUGAUGUUGAGUCGUAUGUGCCCGGGCUGAUGUCGAGACGUACUGGUCGGGGCCGAUGUCGAGUCGUCUGGGCCUGAGCCUGAGCCGAUGUUGAGUCGCCCGGGUCGAUGUUGAGUCGUCCGGACUCGGGUCGAUUUUGGGUCGUUUGGGCCUGGGCCAAUGUCGAGUCAUUUGAGCCCGGGCUGAUGUCGAGUCGUUCGAGUUCGGGCCGAUGUCUAGUCAUCCAGGCUCAGGAUGUCAAGUGGUCUGGGCCUGGGUCGAUGUUGAGCCAAGUUGGUCCGCAUCCAAGUUGAGUCGGGUUAGGUCCAGUUCGAGCCAAGUUAGUCUGUGGCCAUAUCAAAAUAGAUUUAAUGUAUUUGAAAAAAUGGAUUUAAUCUAAUUAACAAAGUAGAUUUAAUCCACUUUAAAUGAAUUUUAAAAAAAUCCAAAUAAAUUUGAUCUAGUUAAAAUGAAUAUGAAUCUAUUUAUUUUGAUUUAGAUUAGAAAUUCAUAACCACCCCACACUCAACUAAUCAUAACUGUACAAAUUGUAACACUCUUAAACUCAGAUAUGCUAGAGACACUGCUUGUAACCACUCACUUAGUUGAACACAUAAAUACAUCCAUGACUUUUCAGAUAUUUGUAUUUGAUUGCAUAGUUAAAUUUAAUUACUUUAAUAUUUUGUUGUUGUGCUGUAUUUACUCUCUUGUAUAUUAUCUAUUAACGGAUUAUCUUCUAUGGUUCACAAUGUAUUAAAAACUAUAAAAUUAUGAAAAAUGUUUAUUAAACAAGGUGUGAGACUCAUAAAAUUUUGUAAUUCCUAAUAAACCUCACUUUUUAUUAGUUUAAAAAUAAAAUACAAAAAAAUUAUAAUAAAAAUGAAUAAAAACACAAAUAAAUGUAAUCAUAAUCCAAACGUAAAAUUUCAUUAAUAAGACGGGGCCUAAAUAAUAAGAUUAUAAAAAAUAACAUACUUAUGAGCCAGUUUAUUAUUUGAUAUUAAUUAUAACAUUAUUUGAUUAUAAAAAUAUUUAUGUUUUUGUUUGGAUUAAAAAGAAGGGAAAAAAAUUAGAAAGAAAGGAAAAAAGAGUGAGAAUAUUUCUAUUAAGAGGUAAAAAGGUAAAAGUGAAUGAAAAGUUCAAAAUACAUGUAAUUGAUCUAAUACUAAUAUUUGGUAUAUAUUUCAAAAAUUAAUUUGUAAAAAAUAUUGAUAUAAAAAAUUUAAAACAUAAAUAAGAAUUAAAAUAAAUUUUAAAUUAAAGUAAAAGAAUUAUUAUUAAAUCUUAAUAAAUAAAAAUUUAUAUUCAUAAUUAUAAUAUAUUAAAAUAAAUUAAUUUAUAAAAUAUGAAAAUUUAAAUUAUUUAUUUAUUGAUAUAAUGUUUUUAUUACAAUGAUAAUUAUUAUUUAUUAGAAUAUAAAUAUAUAUAUGUAUAUAUAUUAAUAAAUAUGAAAUUAUUUAAUUGUAUUUUAUUUUAUUUAUUGUUUUAGUGUUUUAAUUAUUUAUUUUAAUAUAGAAAUAUUUAUAAAUAAAUAUGAAAUUAAUAUAUGAAAUUAUUUUAUUUUAUUGAUUAUUUUUAUUAUUUAUUUUAUUACAAUAUAAAAUCUUAUAAUAAAUUAACAUUAAUAAUAUAAUUAUUAAAAUAAUAAUAAUAAAAAGAAACGUAAAGUUUAAUAAUAAUAAAUUAUUUAUACACAUAAUUAAUUAAGAUUUCUAACAUAAUCGAUUAUAUGAAAUUUUCUUCGUAAAUAUUUAGUGUUUUAUAUGUUUUAAUACAUUGAUUUUUUUUAUUUUUCUUCGUAUUUUCAUGUGUAUAUAGUAUUUUCAUUGAAUCCAAACACACUUACUUAGAAUCAAUUUUUUAAUCCCAUAAAAUAUUUGUUAGGUGUAAUGUACACCUUAAAAUAAUAACAAUAAUAUUUCUAAAUACAAUAUAAACUUUGAUAAAUUAAAUAUAAAUAUAAUAUAAUAAUAUUUUAUAAAAUAAAAGAGCCAAUUUUAGUUCAGUGAAUCACUCGGAAGAAAAUAAGAAUUAAAAAUUUAUUUUAUGUUGAAUAUAUAAAUUAUAAUGUUUAAUUAUCAAUUUCUAAAGUUUAUUAUCUUUCUAAACUAUACUUCUAUAAAUUCAUUGAUUUCUCUAAAGUUUAUUAUUCUUCAUAUUUUAAGUUUUUUUUUCUUGUUUCAAUUACAUGUAGUUUAUUAUUCAUAUUUUAAGUUUUUUUUUCUUGUUUCAUUUACAUGUAGAAAGGGGAUUCGUAGUGAUAAAGCAAGAUAGAUAAAUCUUUGCUAAACUAGGUUUAUAGUGAUAUAUUUGGUUUUAUAAAUCCCAUAUCAUAAAAAACAAUUUUAAGGCUUUUCUAAAGAUUACAGGUUUUUGCACAUAAAUUAAGAUAGGAGGAGCUAAUAAAUUUUAUAUUUAUUUUCAAUUUGAAUUUGAUAUGAAGUUCAAUCCCAAGUUAGAAGAUUUAGAUGAGUUGGUUCAUUACAAAAUUAAAUUAUUUUAAAAUUAUAUGAUGGAUAAUUGUAUGUUUAAGUUGCUUGAGUUAUGACUAAGUUAUGAGUUUUGAAGUGUUAAAAAGUUGUUUUAAAUUUGUUAAAAAUGAUAGAAUUGGUUAGUUUAGGAUUUGAGGCUAAUUUUGAAAAAUUAGGUAAAAUUGUUGAUUUUGUAUAAGCAUCUUAGUAGAUGAGUUUCAACAAAUUCGAAUAUAAGAACAAUUAGAAUAUUUUACUAUUUUAAUUCGCUCAAUAAAUUGAAUUUUGCUUGAAGGAUGUAUGUGUGUGUAAGUAGAAAAUAAUACUUAAAAGAUAUUAUUUGAUUAACAUAAGAUAUAAUAUAUUUUAAUGAUCAUAAGUUAUAGUUCACUGUGAUUGAUGAUAAGCUUAUAAGCUAUGAAUUACUAGGUAUGAUUGAUAAUUUGUUCUAUCAAGGAUCUAUGUAAGAUAUAUAUGAGUAUAGUAGAUUAUUGAGCUUUUAAAGGUUUUUACAAGUAUGAAUCUCUAUAUCUAAAAUAUUAAUCUUCUAAAAAUAAACAAUACUUAUUCAUUUAAUUUGUGAAGCAAUUAUUAACCUUAUUAACAAAUUUAAUUAAAAAUAUUAUUUUAUUUGAUAUUAUUGUUGUAAUCCUGCUAACAACCAUGUUUAUGGGAAGAAACAGUCCUAAGAUGAUAGAUGAUAGAACUGAAAGAAACCAAUAAUCAUUUAUAAAGUUUAUGUUGUAUAUAUACAGCUUUAUUAUUAUUAGAAUUACAUGUACCUAAUCAAAUAUGUUACGUAAACUGCAAUAUAACUUUAAUUUAAAGUCAAUUUCAAAUACAAUAUCAUAAUAUAUAUCAACUUAAAAUAAAGUUAAUUGAAAGAGUAAAGGAGACCAGAUUCUAGAAUACUCAAAUAUGUGUAUUACUCGACGAUUAGUCAAUUUAGUUUCAUUUUUCAUACUAAUAAAAUCUAAAUAAUAAAAGGAUUUAAUUAACAGUCUAUGAUAACAGUGAUGUAUGGUUUACCAUUUAAUUAUUCCAACUGGGUAUACUUAAGGGGGAGAGUGCUACCCUUAAGAAAAUUUCAACUUUCAAACAUGGCCAAUUUGGGAGCAAUAUUCAAUACAGAUUUCCCUGCAGGUUUUACUUGGGUGGUGGACAAUGCAAUAAGGAGUAGUAGUGGUUCCACCAGUGAAGAAGAAACAUCCCCUGAGCGUACUUUUGCUUCGGUGGUAGACAGUGCCAUCAACAGCGAUGGUGCAGAAGAAGAAUUUCAGUUAGUCACUCCGGACAAUUCCUCAAAAUCUUUUCUUUUUGCGACUGAGAUUGUAACAACAUCCACCGACAAUGUCUCACUUCAAGUUGAAAACGAGAUUGUUGGUUACAUAUUUGGUCAAUCAUGUUCUGCAAACACUAUCAAGAAAAGCUUCCAAGAUUUCUCCUGCUCUAAUCAUACAGGCGAUUCAAGCCUUGUUACUGUAAAUGGGAAGCCCAUACCAAACUUUGUCAUCAAGAAGGCUGAAAAACUAGCAGGACCAAUCCAGCCUGGAAAUUAUUGGUUAGAUUGUGAUAUAUCAUAGAGCUUCCAUCAAUUUCUGUUUUAGUUAGUAGAUUCAGUUAAAUUCCAAUUUUCUGUAGUAUAUAAGUGUUCACUGACAAAAUAAAAUUGAGUUUCAUGCUUUGGUAUUAAUCCUCUUUACAUAAUAACAUUUCCUGGAUGAGUGAUUUUGCAAUUUGGAAGCAAUUAUAAAUGUUGUGGUGAUUGCUUAUAUAGUGCAUUAACUCUUGCUUUGAACAGGUAUGAUUUUACGGGUGGAUUUUGGGGGUGUGAUGGGAGGGCCAUGUCUUGGAAUAAUUCCUGUAAGUUAAUUCCACCAUUCUAUGGCUAUAUGUUGGUUGUAUUAUAAAUAAAGGUAAGAAAAAAUCCAAAUUACAAAAUCCAAUCCAUAAUUAUCUAAAUUCAUAUUGGUUUUAUCUAUUUAAAUGGAUUUAUUUUAAAUUUAAAUCCAUAUUUUUGGAUUUUAAAUUUAAUCUUUUAAUUGGAUAUGGGUUAGAUAUAGAUUGGAUACAUUUUUGGAUUAUCCAAAUUGCAUUUUAGGUUGGAUUUUGACUUGGCCCAAUCCAGUUGAGCCAACACAAUUCAGGUCCAGGUUGAGCAAAGUCGAUCCAAAUCCACGUCGAGCUGAGUCGUCCGGGCCCAAGUCGAAUUCAAUCGGUAUGGACAAAAGUCGAGUCAAGUCAUUUCGGGCCAAAGUCGAGCCGAGUCAACCCUGGGCCAAUUCGACCCGAGUCGGCCAGAGCCGAUACCAAGCCGAGCAGAGUCUUUCAGAUUCAAUAUUGAGUCGAGCGGGCCCAGGCAGAUGUCGAGUCGAGCGAGCCCGAGCCCAUGUCGAGCCGAGUGGGCCCGGGCCCAUAUCGAGCCGAGUAGUCUAAGGCUCAUGUCGAGCCGAGCAGGCCCAGACAAAAGUCAAGCCAAGCAAAGUCGGGACGAUGACGAGUCGCUUGGGCCGAUAUCGAGCCGAGCGAGCCCGGGCUAAUGUAGAGCCGAGCGGGCCUGGGCCGAUGUCGAGCGGGCCCGGGCCGAUGUCGAGUCAUUCGGGCUCGUGUCGAUGUCGAGCCGAGCGGGCCUGGGCCGAUGUCGAGCCAAGCGGGCCUGGGCCAAUGACAAGCCAAGCGGGCCCGGGCUGAUGUCAAGUCGUUUGGGCCUAGGCCGAUAUUGAGUCGUUCGGGCCCGGGUCGAUGUCGAGCCGAGCGGGCCCGGACUGAUGUCGAGCCAAGCGGGUUCGAGCCGAUGUCGAGCCGAACGGGCUUGGGCCGAUGUCUAGUCAUUCGGGCUCCGGUCGAUGUUGAGUCGUCCGGGUCGGGGCCGAUGUUGAGUCGUGCGGGCCUGGGCCAAUUUUGAGUUGUUCAGGCCCGGGCCGAUUUUGAGUUGUUCAGGCCCGGGCCGAUUUUGAGUCGUUCAGGCCCGGGCCGAUGUCGAGACGAUCAACCCCAUACUAAUUUCGGGCCGAGUAGGCCCGGGCCAAUGUUGAGCCGAGCGGGACCAAGCCAAUGUCGAGUCGAGCAGGCCCGGGCCGAUGUUGAGCAAAGCGGGCUCGGGCUGAUAUCGAGCAGAGCGGGCCCGGGUCGAGGCCGAUGUCGAGUUGUGUGGGCCCAUGCCGAUUGUGAGUCGUUCGGGCCCGGGCCAAUUUCGAGAGAAUCGAGCCCGGACCGAUUUCGAGCCGAGCGGACCCGUGCCAAUGUCGAGUCGUUUGGGUCUGGGCCGAUGAAAAGUCGUUCAGGCCCAGACUUAUGUCGAGUCAUUCGGGCCCGGACCGAUGUUGAGUUGUUCGGACCUGGAUCGAUGUCGAGUCGUCCGAACCCAGACCGAUGUCGAGUCGUCUGGAUCUGGACCGAUGUAGAGUCGAAUUGGUCUACGUCUAGGUUGAAUGGAUUUAAUGUAAUUGACAAAGUGAAUUUCAUAUAAUUAACAAAAGUGGAUUUAAUCUAGAUUCAAUCCACUUUAAAUGAAUUUUCUAUUUAUUUGGAUUUGGAACCCACCAUCCUUUUAAUUAAAUAAGGUGAUUUCUCCUGCAGCCAUUUAUGGAAGAGUUCAAUCUUCCCAUGGCGUACAAAUGUUCUGGUGGAAAUACUGAUAUUUAUGUAAAUGGAAGGGAACUUCACCAAAAAGACUUGGAUUUGCUAGUUCGGAGAGGACUCCCCAAAGAUAGAGAUAGGUUUUAUAUCAUUGAAAUUUCUGGGAGGGUGCUGAAUGAAGACACAGGUGAAGUGCUGAAAGGGCUAGGCAAACUUGCACCAACGUAAGUGCUAUUCUUUUCAUAUAUAUUCUAUAAUGAUUCUCUUCCCUCUAUUGUUUUAAUUCACUCGUGUUAGCUCCUACGAUAUACUUGGAGAUGCUAGUGUUUCACUGCUAAGUUAUUAAUGUUUUACUUUAAAAAAUGUUCAUAAUCCCUUACUUCAUUUUCAAAGUUUCUAUGCCAUCUUGGAUGUUUGUAAUAUUUGUGCAUGCCAAUUGACAUAGAAAUAAAACCAUCCAUAUCUUGCAAAUCAUUAUAACUUUUGAAUAUGAAAAUGUUAUCUAUAAGCAUUAUAUAUUAAAAUUAGAUUAUAUUGCAUUAAUAUUUAAUUAAGUUAACUUUCGUAAGUUACUUAAUCCAUAAAUUAAUAUUAACUUAUUUUAUGAUGAUAUAGAAAUAUUUAUAAGCAUGUAUAAGUUGAUUUUCAUAAAAAUUUAUUCAAAUAAAAGUAUUUGAGUUGGGUUAAAUUGAAGUAUAUUAAAUCUAUAUUAUUAGUUUUAUCAAAUAUAAACAAAAUGAAUUCAAUUAAUAACGAGUUAUAUCACACUGGGUUAGUAAAUAUGUGAAAAAUUAAUUUUACCAUUUAAAAAAAUAAUUUUCUUUUACCAAUUGUAGUCUUCCUUUAUUGUUUUAAUGCACUCUUCUCUUUUUCCUACUUUAUACAUAGAGAUGAUAUGUUUUUACUGAUUGCCUAAAACACAAUUUCAUAACAUUUUACUAGCAAGCCACAUUUUCACAGUUGCCUGUGAUCUUGAGCCCUAGAUUGGAAACAGGUUUCCAAGUUACACAUUUUCACUUGGCAAUUUGCAAGAUGGUUUUUAGGUUAGAAAUAGAACGAUUAGAAUCUUGCAAAUCAUUAUAGGUUUACCAAGGGUGAGAGGCACUGUUCUGUAGCAGGCUGCAGCUGAUAGUUUGUGAAUCAUUUUAUUGUUCUGUAAAAGGGAUAUAAUAUACUUAAAUUUUUCUUUUUUGUGUCUUCAUUGUUCACUAUUUUAUUUAUCAAUUUUGUUGGUGAAAAUGAAGAAAAUAAGACAGCUGAAAAGUUGUGUAAUUUUUGGUACCAGUGAUCUAGGGUACAUUUCUGAUGUUCUGUCAUAUGUUUUUUNNNNNNNNNNNNNNNNNNNNNNNNNNNNNNNNNNNNNNNNNNNNNNNNNNNNNNNNNNNNNNNNNNNNNNNNNNNNNNNNNNNNNNNNNNNNNNNNNNNNNNNNNNNNNNNNNNNNNNNNNNNNNNNNNNNNNNNNNNNNNNNNNNNNNNNNNNNNNNNNNNNNNNNNNNNNNNNNNNNNNNNNNNNNNNNNNNNNNNNNNNNNNNNNNNNNNNNNNNNNNNNNNNNNNNNNNNNNNNNNNNNNNNNNNNNNNNNNNNNNNNNNNNNNNNNNNNNNNNNNNNNNNNNNNNNNNNNNNNNNNNNNNNNNNNNNNNNNNNNNNNNNNNNNNNNNNNNNNNNNNNNNNNNNNNNNNUUUUAUGCAUCAAAUUGAUUAUUCUUUCUUUCUCUGUACAUUACCUGAACUUAACUCCACAUGAUGAUGUUUAUUCCAUUUCCUAAUAUGAUUCCACUAUUUGACAUUUUAUAAGUUUGUUGAUAUUGCAUUAAAUUUUAUUUAUCUCUAAGAGCAUUUAACUUGGGCUAAUUUUGAACCCAU